rnacentral:rRNA from 1 species
AUUGAACGCUGGCGGCAUGCCUUACACAUGCAAGUCGAACGGUAACGCGGGGCAACCUGGCGACGAGUGGCGAACGGGUGAGUAAUACAUCGGAACGUGCCCAGUAGUGGGGGAUAGCCCGGCGAAAGCCGGAUUAAUACCGCAUACGACCUACGGGUGAAAGCGGGGGAUCGCAAGACCUCGCGCUAUUGGAGCGGCCGAUGUCAGAUUAGGUAGUUGGUGGGGUAAAGGCCUACCAAGCCUACGAUCUGUAGCUGGGCUGAGAGGGCGACCAGCCACACUGGGACUGAGACACGGCCCAGACUCCUACGGGAGGCAGCAGUGGGGAAUUUUGGACAAUGGGCGCAAGCCUGAUCCAGCCAUGCCGCGUGCGGGAAGAAGGCCUUCGGGUUGUAAACCGCUUUUGUCAGGGAAGAAACGCUCUGGGUUAAUACCUCGGGGUAAUGACGGUACCUGAAGAAUAAGCACCGGCUAACUACGUGCCAGCCGCCGCAGUAACAC